AGCAGCCGCGGUAAUUCCAGCUCCAAUAGCGUAUAUUAAAGUUGUUGCAGUUAAAAAGCUCGUAGUUGAAUUUCGGGGUCAGUAGAUUGGUCGUGCCACUGGUAUGUACUGGUCUUACUGGCUCCUCCUUCCUGAUGAACCGUAAUGCCAUUAAUUUGGUGUUGCGGGGAGACUGGACUGUUACUUUGAAAAAAUUAGAGUGUUUAAAGCAGGCUAACGCUUGAAUACAUUAGCAUGGAAUAAUGAAAUAGGACGUUCGAUCUUAUUUUGUUGGUUUCUAGGAUUGACGUAAUGAUUAAUAGGGAUAGUUGGGGGCAUUAGUAUUCAAUUGUCAGAGGUGAAAUUCUUGGGUUUAUUGAAGACUAACUACUGCGAAAGCAUUUGCCAAGGAUGUUUUCAUUAAUCAAGAACGAAAGUUAGGGGAUCGAAGACGAUCAGAUACCGUCGUAGUCUUAACCAUAAACUAUGCCGACUAGGGAUCGGAUGAUGUUAAUUUUUUAAUGACUCAUUCGGCGCCUUA
rnacentral:rRNA from 1 species